UGCAAACUUUAUUUGGUUGAUUUCCUUUUUUUUCCCUAAAAAUUCUAACAGAGAAUGUCUUUACCUGAAUUUUUGGUAACUGUCCUCCUGCCUCUUCCAGGGUUGAGAGUAACGUGCCACCACUUUGUCAAUGACCUCCCUGUAACACACAAACGGGUCAGGUGUAAAGGCAACUUACUUGCUGAUGAACAUGAACCAGAUGAGCGAGGUGAACAGACUCCCCAGGAAGAGGAGGGUGACCAUCAGAGAGAAGAGUGACUUCAGGAGCUGUCCCCUCAUACCUCACCCCUCCGGCUAACCUCACCCGUUAGCCUCCUUCACCUCUGGUCUCCCCCCCCACCCUGUCUGUGCUGCUCUACCUUUAACCCUCGCCCUGUCCGGCACCCUACCCGGCUUCUCAGACUUCCUCCCCCCUUCUCCUCAGACACUGUUAAUCUUUUCUUUCUUCUGUUUUCUUUUUACCUCUCUGUCUUCCUCCUCCUCCUCCUCCUCCUCCUCCUCACCCUCUUCCUGUCUGACUGGCUUGACUCAGUGUCUCUCAAGCCUCCUCAGUCAUUCUUCUGUUUUCUGCCUCUUGUUCGGGCAAGUCCUCAUCCCUCUGUUCGCCUCCCCUGCCUCCCUCUGCUCGGGUCAGCUGUGUCGAUAUUCGGUUGCUGCACAUCCCAC